UCACAGCUGCCGCUGGGUGAAGAGGAGGAGCAGGAAGAAGAGGACAGCAAGUCUCCGUGGCACUCCGGAAUUGGGUCGGAAUCACGUCCUUCACGGAAUCACCUCUGCUUCCUCAUCUCCGCCAGAGGCUGCAAGGAUGAAGACCUCUCUGGUGGUCAGCCUGGUGGUCCUGCUCAUGGCCUUUGCCUUCGUAGCCCAGACGCAAUCUCGCCGUGGCUAUUUACUACGAAUAAUGAUAAGCGGUCCUGUGCUGAUCCCAGGCUUAAAUGGGUCAAGGAGAGAAUCCAUUCCUUCUUAGAAAUCUAACCAGGUCCUGUUUCCACCUCCUGUACCCCCAGAAGGGAAGAGAAAUGAUCAACCUGGAGCUACCAGCUUGUGGAGGAAAGGAGGAAGUUAUACAAGGUGGAACCCUAAGCUAUCCAUCUUCAAAGGGGAUGCCUGCCUUGAAUUUUUAUUUUUUAUUAUUUUGAAUAACCACAUGUACACUUUGAUUGUUCAUUUAUUCUUUGCAUCGUAAAAAAAUAAAUAAAACAGAAGCAAUUUGAAAA